rnacentral:pre_miRNA from 1 species
AUCUAUCCUCUCUCUGUCUAACUUAUCUCUCUCUCUCUAUCUAUUUAUCUCUCUAUCCAUCUAUCUAUCUAUAGAUAGAGAUAGAGAUAAGUUAGACAGAGAGAGGAUAGA